CUUUAAAUAGCUUACAAAAGCAAUGCUUUGAAGAAGCAUAGUCGGGUUUCCCUUUAAAAA
rnacentral:tRNA from 1 species